UGUAGAGGUAUAACAUCAUGGUAGAACCAUCUCCAUCUCCAGGUGAUGUAGAGGUAUAACAUCAUGGUAGAACCAUCUCCAUCUCCAGGUGAUGUAGAGGUAUAACAUCAUGGUAGAACCAUCUCCAUCUCCAGGUGAUGUAGAGGUAUAACAUCAUGGUAGAACCAUCUCCAGGUGAUGUAGAGGUAUAACAUCAUGGUAGAACCAUCUCCAGGUGAUGUAGAGGUAUAACAUCAUGGUAGAACCAUCUCCAGGUGAUGUAGAGGUAUAACAUCAUGGUAGAACCAUCUCCAUCUCCAGGUGAUGUAGAGGUAUAACAUCAUGGUAGAACCAUCUCCAUCUCCAGGUGAUGUAGAGGUAUAACAUCAUGGUAGAACCAUCUCCAUCUCCAGGUGAUGUAGAGGUAUAACAUCAUGGUAGAACCAUCUCCAGGUGAUGUAGAGGUAUAACAUCAUGGUAGAACCAUCUCCAGGUGAUGUAGAGGUAUAACAUCAUGGUAGAACCAUCUCCAGGUGAUGUAGAGGUAUAACAUCAUGGUAGAACCAUCUCCAGGUGAUGUAGAGGUAUAACAUCAUGGUAGAACCAUCUCCAUCUCCAGGUGAUGUAGAGGUAUAACAUCAUGGUAGAACCAUCUCCAUCUCCAGGUGAUGUAGAGGUAUAACAUCAUGGUAGAACCAUCUCCAUCUCCAGGUGAUGUAGAGGUAUAACAUCAUGGUAGAACCAUCUCCAUCUCCAGGUGAUGUAGAGGUAUAACAUCAUGGUAGAACCAUCUCCAUCUCCAGGUGAUGUAGAGGUAUAACAUCAUGGUAGAACCAUCUCCAUCUCCAGGUGAUGUAGAGGUAUAACAUCAUGGUAGAACCAUCUCCAUCUCCAUCUCCAUCUCCAGGUGAUGUAGAGGUAUAACAUCAUGGUAGAACCAUCUCCAGGUGAUGUAGAGGUAUAACAUCAUGGUAGA